AAAGCAUACAAUUAUAAGCAACCUAUCAUAAAUAUUCUGAUUACGUCAUCAGGCAAAAUGAAAAGUCUGCAGGCGGAAGCUGUUUACCGCCUUCAUCAAACAAAAUAUUUAUUGCUCCUUUAAAAAUAUACAGGUUGGCCUCGUUACCAAUGCAGAAUGAUUUCCGUACAUGCCAUUUCUGCGACAACUUUUAAUGAUCAUAGUCUUUACACAACACUGAAACAUCAUCAAUUUUCGUAUUUUGGGAAAUAUUUGUAUGAUAUUUUAGUUCAUCAAAUUACCAUAAAGUGUAUAAGAAUAAAAAGUUCAAGGCUAUUGGAAAAUAAACGUAUUUGUGAUGGUACCAUCAGCAGUUUGUGUUAUCAAUGGCGUUUGUUUUGUUUUUUUCAUGUCACAUGUUUGUGCUUUUUUUCUCUUCAUGUCCGGUUUUAAGUCUCACAAAUAUGUGACGGUUAAGUCGUUUUCAAUACUGUUUCUCUAUGACAUAUAGUGCAGCGUAUCUUUUAGACAACGUCAUUAUGGAUUAGCGACUGUUAAGAUUAUCACAUUGUAUGUGAUUGUUUGCAUGUAUAACCAUACUGAUUUACUACGAUUUUCUCUCGGUUGUUGUGACGAGUUAAAUAACUGCAGCUUAGAAUUGUAUCUAAGUUGACAUUAAAUUCCUAUCCAUAACUUGCAUUACAAUUGCUUGCCCAACUCUUUAUUUUAUAUUGUUUAUAGGAGUUAUGAGAUUGAUAACUGUUCAUUAUUGUCACCUUUCAUGAUAUUAGAUACAAAACUAAAUCACGACAUCAAUUCCUUUUGAAAAAUAAUUUCAUCAACGUCAACACGGGAAGCAGCAAAACAUCUCUUAACACAACUAAGAAAAGUACCUCUAUACCUCUACCAAUGAUACUAAGAAAAUGAAAACGUGAAGAUAACGAACAGUGAACAAUAAAAGGUUGUAUGGAUAUAUUUUACGGUAGGAACUGUACUAUUCUUUGUCAAUACCCAACACUCGGUUGGAUUUGUCGUUCAUGGUGCAACUGCAGCCGCGAGGAUUGUCACCACGUGAACAGGUGUAGCUGAUCUGAGGCUGCACCGAAACCUACCAGCAUCCCACGCACGGAUAGAAUACAUAGGAUAGCUAAAGGAGGCACAAAUUACAGGAAUCCAGUGCCUUUACUUUCUGUGACAGAAUCUGUAUCAAAACCUACCAACAUCCCUCUUAUAGAUGAAACAGAGGAGACAAGAGAAGCAAGUGGGAUAAAUUCCGUGUCUUUAGUUUCUGGCAUUACUAGUCUCCUUAUCGUGGCCGGAAUAUUACUGACGUUGUAUGCAAUGAUGUAUUUUCAUAAAAUAUCAUGCAAAGCUCAAAGUGAUUCAGCCGGUAUUACAACUUUUCAAAUUAUAAAAUACACAACGCCCAUGUUAAUUCCAGGGGUUUUUGUCAUUAGUGUCCGUUAUCCAUUAAUUACAUUCUAAGUUCUUUGCUCACACAUUAAGUCAAGUCAGACUCUAAUUCUGACUAUAUACAUCUGUGUUCAGAUGACACCAUUGCAGUCCAAUCAGAUUAUAA